AGUUCUGCUUUUCUUUUUGUAUCUCAAGUACGGAGGCGGAGUCAAGAUGGCGGCGUAGAAGCAGCAAAAGUUCAGACCUCUGAAAACCCUUCCUUACAGAUUACAAACUAAAUGCUCCUAGGGGACUGAAAAUCAAACCCAACAACAGGACAGAGCCAAGGAAUCCUCCUGCUGGACUCAACUUAAAAGGCAACAAACAAAGAACAAAUGGAACAGAGGAAGAAGCAAGUAAUAAAACAGAAAUCCCAGCAAAUUGGAUACAGGCUUUGGAAGAAAUCAAAAUGCAAUUCAAAACACAAUUAAGAGAGGCUGAAGACAAUUGGGGAAAGAACUUAAAAACUAAGAUAAGUCAUUUGGAAACAGAAAAUAGUGCCUUGAAAGCCAAAUUCAACCAGCUUGAAAUGAAAAUGAGGCAAAGGAGAUGAAAGAUGAGGUAAAGAGAAUGGAAGAUGACCUCCAAAGAAAAUCAGGCCAGAAGGAGAAGGAUGUAGCUCAAGUACAUAGCACAUAGUAGGCUCUUUAUAAAUGUUUUAUUCAUUUUUGUGUAAAAUUAAAUAAAUGCAUUUUAAUCAAUGCUAAAUAAAUCGAUUCUGUGACUGGGUAA